UUUCAGAAAACCUUUUUCUUUUUUCUUUUAAGGAACUAUGACUUACAGCAAAUUGGAAACUGACAUCCAGAGAAUAUCAAGAAGCUGAAGUUUCCCAGAACCCAACUCCUCAGCUUCCUGGCACCAAAAUCCACAAUCCACCACAGAGGCAGACAACUAAGGACAUCCAUCUGCAGAUAUCCUUAUCUCAUUGUUCUCCUUCCUGCAAGUAGCCUCACAAGGCCAAAUGCAGGCUGGUGGAAAGACGCCAACCAACAAGCCCACAGGCUCUCCCCAUCCCUACAAGCAGCCUCAUUCCUUGCAACCUGUAAACCCCCUGGCUUCCCAUCUUUCAGGGAGACAAAAUGAAUUUGAGGGCUCACCCUUGUCUCCCUGCUGAUGUCACCCAAAAUAAAGACCCUUUCCUUGCCAUAAGCCUGGUGUUACAGUUUUUAUUUGGUCCCUCUAGUGUGGCAGGUAAAGAACCUACAUUUGUAGCCUGUAUCAGUAUUAUGUUUAGCACACAAAUAACCCAAC
rnacentral:lncRNA from 1 species